rnacentral:rRNA from 1 species
UACGGGGGGGGCAAGCGUUGUUCGGAAUUACUGGGCGUAAAGGGCGCGUAGGCGGUUCGCUAAGUUGGAUGUGAAAACUCUGGGCUUAACCCAGAGCCUGCAUCCAAAACUGGCGAACUGGAGUACUGGAGGGGAAAGCGGAAUUCCUGGUGUAGCGGUGAAAUGCGUAGAUAUCAGGAGGAACACCGGUGGCGAAGGCGGGUCUCUGGGCCGAUACUGACGCUGAGGAGCGAAAGCAUGGGGAGCGAACAGG